rnacentral:rRNA from 1 species
UACGGGGGGAGCAAGCGUUGUUCGGAAUUACUGGGCGUAAAGGGCUCGUAGGUGGCCAACUAGAGUCAGACGUGAAAUCCCUCGGCUUAACCGGGGAACUGCGUCUGAUACUGGAUGGCUUGAGUUUGGGAGAGGGACGCGGAAUUCCAGGUGUAGCGGUGAAAUGCGUAGAUAUCUGGAGGAACACCGGUGGCGAAGGCGGCGUCCUGGACCAACACUGACACUGAUGAGCGAAAGCGUGGGUAGCAAACAGG